rnacentral:rRNA from 1 species
CCUCGAUAACCCGGCACCUAGUGCGCGAUAUGGAGGGGUUGAGAUGGGUAGAGGGGAAGACGGAGGAGGGGGGGAAGAGAGAGCGAGAGUCCGCAUUCAGCGCCUUGCUCUAGCGACCUCGCCGCUAUGUCGCCGCGUUUUCGCUGUGCGUUGYAAGGCAGACGCCGCUGUCACGGCCGCCUACGGUCCGCUGCCGGACUACGGCCUGCGGAUACUUUCAGNCCCUCGGCGAAAGAUUUUUUCUCAUUCCGGUAGGUGGUCUCUAGAGUAGGCAGAGACAACCCAAGAUCCUACCAUCUAUGGAGGUGGUGGGUUUUUGGCGUCAAGGUGGAAAGCUACCCGGGAAUUGGACCAGUUUCGAGGCUGGCAGCUACCCGGGAGUUGGCUGAAAAACGACCAAGUCGGACACCCUGGAGCUACCCGGGAAUUGGACCAGUUUCGAGGCUGGCAGCUACCCGGGAGUUGGCUGAAAAACGACCAAGUCGGACACCCUGGAGCUACCCGGGAAUUGGACCAGUUUCGAGGCUGGCAGCUACCCGGGAGUUGGCUGAAAAACGACCAAGUCGGACACCUUGGAGCUACCCGGGAAUUGGGAAUUUGGAGAACGGAUUUUGGUGAGUUGGCUGAAAAACGACCAAGUCAGACAUCUGGGAGCUACCCGGGAAUUGGGAGCUACCCGGGAAUUGGGAGACGAAUUCGCCGAUUCCUCCACCACCAGGCCGUUUCCCCGUUCGUUACUCUUCUUAGUGCACUGGAAAGAGCGUAUUGUCCUUAGUAUAUUUCACUCUUAAAAGUACUAUAUAUACUUGAACGCUAUUUGUUUUGGCUUUCAAGAGUCUGCUUGCGGUGCACUAGUAUUCCUAUUGAGUUUCUGGGCCGAAAUCCUACCACGCCACCUAAACGUCAGAAGGCCUAGCGAAAUACAUUGCAAUCGAAUAGGCACACUCAGAUUACCCUAUGGCCGGUCGUGCAUCGCUGCAGCGGCGUGCCCACCAAAAACAGGACCCAGGGUAUGUAAGAAGGGGAAAGCGAAAGAGAGAACCCGGGCGGGCGCUCAGUGCGUCUUUCAGUAAUGAGAAUCCGCCGAACACUGUUCCAUAUCAUAUCGAACGCUACUUAGUGCCCCUGUUACGAGCCUACCGGUUCAAGGGGCUACGAGCAGCGUUCACCUCACGGAGGUAGCCGCCAGCGUCUACCAACUGGAGUUUGCCUUUCGGCGCUGAGAGGUCGCUCUACAGCGACGCAAGAUGGGCUCUGUGGGUGASUGGCCGUUGCCAAACCUACUCUUAGAGCAGCGGGAGACGACGCGCGUGGUGGAAGCCGACCAGCUGACGCCGCGUGCCGGGCUCUCCUCUCGGGGCGCUCUAGCCUCGCACUCCCGCUGCGGUGGAUGCUGCGUGGUGAACGGUGCCCUGGGGAAUUCAGAGGGGUAAGGUGGAUGCCGUUAGCGGGCCUCGCGCGGUCUAUGCUGAGUUSCUGCCGGCGUKGCBUUCCCAGCGAACUGACACCGGUGACUAAAUAUCUCUUCGGUGGUGCUUCGGCGCCCCGAUGGCCAUCCCCGGCGCACGAUAUU